rnacentral:lncRNA from 1 species
CAAUAGGUCAAUUGGUCCAAAUAGGUUCGCUUAAGCGAAUAAGGCUCAAGCCAUCGAGCCAAAUUAGGUCUUUAGGUUAAUCAAUUCUAUAUAUGGGUAUUCAUUGAUUUGAUCAACAAUAAUUGUAUGAUCUAAAGCUUUAUUGAUUUAAUCCUAAUCAACACUUAACUCGGUUCAAUCAAUCGCUAAAUCAAUUUUAGACUCAUUAUGUUCAAAUCAAAAUCGUAGGUGUGAUCCAAUUACGUAACCUAAUUUGAUCUACUCAUGACCAAAUCCUCAUGCACAAAUAUAAAUUUCAGAUUUUAAAACUAAAUUUCAGGUCUAAAUUUUUUACAUAAAAAUUAAGUUUUUAAUCUUGAAACUAAUUUUUAGAUCCAACAUACAAACAUAUAUCUCAUAUAUGAAUUUAGAAUUGAGAUCUAAACUAAAUUCAGAUCUUGUC